GAUUGGACUUUAGGGAAGCUUCGGUCAACCACUUGGUGUUGCACUGAAGUGGACUUAAGGAAAGGUCAAUGAUUUGAGAUCCUUCUAGAACCCGGUUACUAUUCUAAGACAGGUUGAACCAACCAAACUUCAGUGGGGAGGGUAUUUACCUAUGGAACUCACGCAAGCCUUAAAACCUAGGAAUGAUUGUUGUGUGACUUGCUUGUGCUUGUUAUUUAUCUAACAACAUGACAUCAUAACAACAUAACAUCAUAACAUCAUGGCAUUGUACUAACCAUUUCAAGGAUUUAGGGAUUUAACUCUGCUAAAAAAAAAACAGAAAAAACAAAAACAAAAGCAAAAACAAAAGAGAAAAGAAAAAAAAAAGCUCUUUUUGUUAGUUUAUGCAAAGUUAAAUCCCGAAAGUCCUUGAAAACAUUUCAUACAUUGCAUAGCAUAACAUAACA
rnacentral:lncRNA from 1 species